CAGUCCACACCUCUCUCUGGGCCCAGCCAUCAGCCUGUCUCUAACUUAAAGAAAAGUACACCUGCACAUGCUUUUUCCCAAACGUCUCCACAAUGACUCCAGUGAAUUAAACCAGGAAUUUUACUAUGCUAUCAGAAACUGCAGCAUGUUGAUAAACAACUGCCCUGGAAAGGAUUGCAGUCUUGCAGGGCCAUGCUUUGCUGCUUGCAUGGAAAGCCUUCCCAGGUGCUUCCAGAAUGCUCUUGUUCACUGCUGAAUUCACUGAUUUUUGGUUUUCCUCUCAGAGCGCUCGUUUUCACCAAUAGUCUGAAGAUUUUGUAUAUUCUGAUAGAAAUAUUUGCACUUACCAGCUCAGUGCCAGAAGAGGACAAUAAUAUUUAAUGAGAAGUCACAUGAGACAAGGAAAUAAAAUAAUGUAGUAAGCAGUGCCA
rnacentral:lncRNA from 1 species